AUCGCUUCUCGGCUCUUUUGAGCUAAGAUCAAGUGUAGUAUCUGUUCUUCUCAGUUUAAUACCUGGGACGGAAACGAUUCGUUUCCUCUAUGUAUUAAUCGGAUUUUUGAACUUGGAAUAUGGUGCUGGAGCUUGCUCCACCCU
rnacentral:snRNA from 1 species